GGAUGUGAGGGUGAUCUGGCUGGGACAUCUGUCACCCCAUUGAUCUCCAGUGUUGAUUCAGCUGAUCUGGCUUUCAAGGGAAGUGUCCCCUUCCUCCCUCACUGCUCCAUGUGAGUCCCUCUUGAAGUUGUGUGCUUACUCGGUGGAAAAGGAUGGCCUUCCCUGAAUAAAGAUGAAUUGGUCUUUGGUCCAGGGUAUAUGAGUAGCUGUGAUCCCCUGCUUUCAAGGUCCAUAUAUACUCCUAAAAUCUGUUCAUUGUAAGUCUUGAAUUUUGUAAAACAUUCAGAUUAAAUAUGUUCAAUUUCU
ensembl:misc_RNA 7SK 7SK RNA